GCAAGCGUGGCCGAGCGGUCUAAGGCGGUAGAUUUAAGUCAUUGGCUAAAACUCUACUACAGAAAUGUGCGUGGGUUCGAACCCCACCGCUUGCA